rnacentral:rRNA from 1 species
UACGGGGGGGGGUAAGCGUUGUUCGGAAUUACUGGGCGUAAAGGGCUCGUAGGCGGCCAACUAAGUCAGACGUGAAAUCCCUCAGCUUAACUGGGGAACUGCGUCUGAUACUGGAUGGCUUGGAUUCGGGAGAGGAAUGCGGAAUUCCAGGUGUAGCGGUGAAAUGCGUAGAUAUCUGGAGGAACACCGGUGGCGAAGGCGGCAUCCUGGACUGGUCCUGACACUCAGGAGCGAAAGCGUGGGGAGCGAGUCCGG